rnacentral:misc_RNA from 1 species
UGAAGCGCCGCUGCUUUGGUCUCUUGCUUCUUCGCUUGUUUUUGUUCGGGUCUUUCCGCUUGAUCACGACGACUCGUCAGGCACAAGUGCGUCUCCACAAGGUGCCUCCCGUCACGCCUGUAGAUCUCCGUCCACCAUCCACCACUGAUCCCGUCCUCUGCACACAGUGCGAACACCCUCUGCGUCCCUCAGGGCUCUCCCCCACCACCACCACCGGCUUUCGCAAGUCUGCACACGCGCGCCCUUUCACCGUGUGAGAGGAAGCGAGAGCUGGCGUCUGUCGUGCACACAGUCGUUCUGUCAUUCGGGUGCGUGCGGUCCCCAACUCUCUGCCACCUGUGCAUCUGCACGUGCUCGGCGUGCCGCAGCGCCCCUCCCCCUCUCUUUCGUAGCCGUGGACGCACACCAACGCGGCUGACGCCCACCGCUCCUUCGUACCUACGUGUUGGCCGGGAUGACCAUGAACGGCACUGCGACGGAGAACACCGCCAAGAAGCGUCAGUCGGUGCUCGAUGUGGGGCAGCGCAACCAGCUGGAGGCGAUGCAAGCCGAGGUGCGCCGUAACAAUGAGCAGCUCACCUCGCUCCGCCGUGAGAACAAGGAGCUGCGCAUGGUGCUUCAGCAGACCAUCCGCGGCCAGCGCAACAUCAGCGUCGAGGAUCACUACGCCAAGGAGGAGGAACUUCUGCAUAACAAAAUGUGCGUGCUGAAGCGCAGCCUCAACGCCGUCAAGGGCAAGAAUGCCGAGCUGCUCAAGGAGAUCGAGCGAGCCACCGAGGAGAACCGCUUCAUCCAGCAGGAGGGCAACGGCGUGCUGGAGGAAGACUCCGCCGUCGCGCACAAAAUCCGUGCCCUCGAGAACCGCCUGGACAAGUGCCUUGUGAAGCACAACGAAGUGCAGACGAUUCGGCGCACGUACGAGACACUUCUGGAGCGGCUGCAGUUGGAGCAGGCCGGCUUCAACACGCAGGUGUCGUCGACGGAGCAGGCGCUGCAGUGUGCCGACAAGGAGCUGGGCGACUUGGUGGCGCUCUGGAAGGACGCGGCAAAGGCGCGGGACGCGGCAAAGGCGGAGGUGUCGGACCUGAAAGCGCAGCUCGCCGCAGAGAGGCAGAGGCAGCUCAAAGACCUCGAGGAGCGCCGCGUCUUUAUCGAGUCCAAGCGGCAGCAGCUGGCGAAGAAGCACGAGGCCCUGCUUCUGAAGAUCUCCCAGCAGGAGGAGCGGCAUGCGCGCACAAUGCAGCGCAUAAACAGCGUCUCCGGUGGCAGCGCCCGUCGCCGCGGGCACCGCAGCCGCGCCUCGUCCGCCUCAUUGCUCAGCCCGGCGGAUGUGGAGCAGCUGCAGAAGCAGAAGACGGCGUACCUCCGCCUGCGCGAUGUGACAAUGGGCACGAACGUUGCAGACGUCCUCGCAAGGCUGCGUGAGAGGUCGGAUCACCACAUACAGCUGAAGACCACCGCCGCAGAGCUCGAGGCUAGCAUGGAGCAGCUCGACAACGAAAGGUUGGCGCUGCAGUCGGAGUGGGAGGAGGUGAACCACCGCGCCGGCCACGCGCUUGUGUCCGCCCGCGUGAUGCGGGCUGCUCGUGACAUGCGUAGCGGUGCUGACAAGGAGAGCGGCACGUUGUGCGGCGCCGAGGGCAAGGAUGGCGAGGGCGACAGCAACAGGAACGCCGCGGGGGUGGCUGGCGGCGCCGAUGCAAUCGACUACGGCCUUCUCGCCGACCGGCGUCACGAGCGUCGUCUUGUUCUCGACGAAUUCCGCCAGCAUCUGCACCAGCGGCAGGGCGAGCUCGAGGAGGCGGAAGAGAAGCACAACUGGCUCUCUCAGCUUCUCCGCGAGGUGGAUCUUGGUGUGCAGUACCUGGCCGAGAAGCUGUCCAUCUCCGGCGCGCAGGCCGUGGACGUCUCCGCUACGUCGCAGCAGCAUCAGAAGCAGCGAAGCGCCACUCAGACAAGCCUGACGAUCGAUCUGCUGCGUAACUGCGGUGCCAAGCUGCAGCUGAUGCUGGAGGAACUGUCCCCCGAAGAAUUGGACGCCGUCGUGCGGUCGAUGAGCAGGGCCAAGUUUGUGAUUCUUGGCACGAAUGUGCGAGUCCCCGAGGUGCUGGAGGCGCAGCGCAUCCACCCGCAGCAGCAGCAGCAGAUUUCUUCCGCAUCCCGCGCGCGCGGGUCUCCUUCGCACGCCGGCGGCGCUUCCACGUCACCGGUUUCUAUGGGGGCACCGGGUGGUGGUCCCUCGUCGACGGUGUGGCGUGCUGGAAGCACUGAUAGCGGCACAUUGACGGCUGGCGCGGCUGCCUCUGGCACAGCGGCAACGGCUUCGGCUGCAGCAGCCCUGACGGAAGACUAUCCUGAGAAUGAGAUUCAUGACCGGCAGGAGCUGAAAAUGAUGUCGAUGGCGACGGUGCAGCGGGAGCAGCAGAAGGCGCGCAAGCGUCAGAUGCAACAGCGACGCAGCAAGGAAGAAAUGGUGUAAGAGCAUCGCUGCUGCGUCUCUGCGCGCCGUCCUUUGAACAACUCCACCCCACCCCCGUCCACCUCGCUCUCAGCUUCGUGUCGAGUCCUUUUCACGGUGUCACCAAGGCACGCGACGAUAGCCAUCACCACUGCUCCGCUGCCGCUGCUAAUCCUCCAGUGAGUGUCUGUGUUUUGCGUGCGCGUGUGCUCACUUAGCGGUUCCCGCAGCUCACGACUCCUGACAUGUCGUCCCCCUCCCCGCCACCUUCCCAAACCCUCUCCACGCCCUCAAAGCAGCCUCAUGUACAUCUAGAUGUUCUCUACAUCUUUCCGUAUAUCUGCUCUGCCUGUCAAGUGAUCCGCGUCGAAGCCGGCAAGGUAAGUGACGCGAACGAAGGACAGGAAGCAAGCGCAGCGCGCACACCCAUGAUGUGAACACGAUCUCCUAUCGCUGUGCGCCCCGCGCGUCUGUCUCUGAGCAGGGAUGUCUGUGUUUUGGUCAGUGUGUCAGUGUGGCGGUGUGUCGGUCGGUCUGCCCCACCCCACUACAAUGUGGUCGGCUUCGGCUCUUUCCGUUAGUAUCCUUUCGGGGCUUGUCCGUCUCCUCUGUGUGUCUACCUGUAUAUAUAUAUAUAUAUAUAUAUAUAUAUAUAUAUAUAUGCGUAUGUAUGUAUGCCUCUGUGCCUGUGCGUGUGUGUGUGUGUGUGUGUGUGUAGCCUCCCUCUCUCUAUGUAUGCACGGUGGCGCUGCUCUCUCCACCAACACCCACCGCCCACCACCGCCAUCUCGAUUUCGCUUACAACGUUUUCCGUUUUCCUUGUUCUUAUUCCGAAUUAUGUUCCCUCUCCCUCCCUCUCUCUCCACUUGGGCAGCACGGAGGUGCAGCAUGUCGUGAAGGGGCGUCGAAGCC